GUACGGUAGUUGGCGCGCGACAUGUCUCGUCUCUUUCCUCUGGGUGGAUGUGGAUCGAGGGCGGCGGGGGUGCGACAGGGACUCGUGCGGGGGAGGGAGCAGGGUGAGGGCGUGCGCGACUGGCGGCCGUGCGUGUGUCGUCGUCUUCUGUGCGUUCACUCUCUUUCCUCCUUGGUUUCGCCUCCUUCUCGUCGUGGCCUGGCGUGUCUCGUCUUUGUUUGGUCCAGUAGAAGCUUGACCUCCCUCCUCUUUUCCUCUCCUUUCGUGGCUGGCGGCGCGUAUGUGGCCCGCUCGUGUGGCCCCUCUGCGGGUUGUGUGUCGCCGGUCGCGCCCUCUCUCUCUCUCUCUUGCGCCCUCCUUCCCUUUUUCUCCCUCUUUUUCUUGUGCGCGUUGGAACGCUGCCCUUUCUUUUCACUCGGUUCUUUGCCUCUUCUUUGCGUUGUUGCAGUUGCCCUUAUCUGGGCGUGCCUGUGUCCUUUGUCCCAGACGACGGCGGCCGGCGGUGCCUCACAAAACCGUGAGGAAAAACGACAACCAACAAAGGCACU
rnacentral:lncRNA from 1 species